AUCCGGCUGACGAGUCCCACCCAAAUAGGACGAAACGUGCGUCCUUGAC
rnacentral:hammerhead_ribozyme from 1 species